UUAUAGCUUGUGCGGCUGCCUAUCAGUUGUCUCAUUGUGUACUGCAUCUUGGUUCUAUCUUCUGCCAGCACAAAAUCAAAGAAUAUGCAAGAAAUAACAAUGUUUCUACUUUAUAUUUUCAUUUCUCAGCCAUAUUAAAACUGAGAUGGAAGAAUAUGAUAUCUAGCAUCUUUUCCGAUUCCUUCUUCCCUUAUUUUCUCUACAAACAUUAAGAUACGGUUCAACCCAUAAAAUCGACUAAACCGCCGGUUUUUCGGUUUUUGACCGGUUCAUUUACUUGGCGGUUUUUACCAGUGAACGGACCGUAUUCAAGUCCGGUUCCCGGUCCAACCGAUUGAACCGGACGGUCCGGUUUUAAUUACAUUGGUUUACACUACCGUGCCCGUAAAAAGCAUAUAACCCAGUUUCACUUCCUCCGUCUGUCUCUCUCCUGAAACUGAAACCAUAGAGAGAAUUUUCAAAAACCCCAAAAUUGAAAAAUAAUUCGUAAACCCUAAUUGUCCUGUCGAGUUUGCAGCCAUGUACGGCGGGGAUGAAGUUUCAGCUAUAGUAAUUGAUUUGGGUUCACAUACCUGUAAAGCUGGUUAUGCCGGUGAAGAUGCUCCCAAAGCUGUGUUUCCUUCUGUUGUUGGAGCGAUUGAUCAAAUGGACGUCGAUGAAUCAGAUGAUGCUGAAAAGAACUCUGGCUCUGGUGAAUCAAAGAACAAUAUUAGAAAUGUUGACGGUGAUAAAGCCAAGGGAAAGAGAAAAUUGUAUGUAGGAUCUCAGUCCUUGGGCUACCGUAGAGAUUUUAUGGAGGUGGUGUCUCCAUUAAAGGAUGGAAUUGUUGCUGACUGGGAUAUUGUUGACAGCAUUUGGGAUCAUGCCUUCAGUAGGGAGUGUCUACUGAUUGAUCCUAAAGAGCAUCCCAUGCUCCUUGCAGAGCCUUCUUCUAAUGCUCAACAACAGAGAGAAAGGGCAGCAGAGCUUAUGUUUGAGAAGUACAAAGCACCUGCAUUAUUUUUGGCAAAAAAUGCUGUUUUGACUUCUUUUGCAUCAGGGCGUGCCACAUCAUUAGUUGUUGAUUGUGGUGGAGGAUCAACUACAGUUGCACCGGUACAUGAUGGCUAUGUUCUUCAGAAGGCUGUGGCGACGUCUCCAAUUGGAGGAGAAUUUCUUACAGAUUGCUUGAUGAAAAGCUUGGAAAGCAAGGGUAUUGCGAUGAAACCUCGGUAUUCCUUUAGGAGAAAAGAAAUACGCCCUGGAGAGUUUCAGACUGUAGACUUGGAUUUUCCUAAUACGUCUGAAAGCUACAAGCUCUAUUCCCAGAGGGUGAUUGCUAGUGAUAUCAAGGAAUGUGUGUGCCGUGCUCCAGAUACUCCAUAUGAUGAGAGUGCAUAUUCAAACAUCCCAACGACGUCGUAUGAGCUUCCUGAUGGCCAGACAAUUGAAAUUGGAGCUGACAGAUUUAAGAUUCCAGAUGUUCUUUUCAAUCCAUCCCUGGCUCAUUCAAUUCCGGGCAUGGAGAGCUUUGCAGAAAUCGCUCCAUCAGUUCGUGGGCUGCCUCAAAUGGUUAUCGAUAGCAUUAAUAAGUGUGACGUAGACAUUCGAAGAGAAUUAUUUAGUAGCAUACUGCUUGCUGGUGGCACGGCUUCAAUGCAACAACUGAAGGAACGCCUUGAGAAAGACUUGCUAGAGGAAUCCCCUCAGGCUGCUAGAGUAAAGGUAUUGGCCAGUGGAAAUGCUACUGAAAGGAGGUUUAGGUGCGAUCUCCCAGUGUUAUGAUUUUGGUGUUUGAUGUUGGCAUUAUCUCUUGCAUGUCUGGAUUGGAGGCAGUAUAUUGGCUUCUCUUGGUUCCUUCCAACAGAUGUGGUUCUCCAAAUCCGAGUAUGAAGAGCAUGGAGCUUCAUAUAUCCAAAGGAAAUGUCCUUGAGUUGCGAUUGGCACGGUUAACAUUCUUGUUGGGUCUCUGUCUAACUACUACUGUAAUAUGCAUUGAUGUGGAGUGUGCUUAGAGUUCUGUAACAAUGUCCUAUUUAUCAAAUUGUGUAUCCCUUGGGGUGUAAAUUUAUUUUAAUAUGGAAUAACCAUUGAGAUUUAAUUAUUGAAUAGUUAAUUGUAUUUGAUAUAUAAUUUUUGAUUGUCGCCUAUCGUAAAAGUUGCAAACACUUGUAUUCUUAGGUUAUUCUAAUGAAAUUCUACCGCCUUUGUUAGUC